rnacentral:rRNA from 1 species
UGCGCAGGCGGGGAUGUAAAUCAGUGGUGAAAUACUGCCGCUCAACGGUAGAACUGCCAUUGAUACUGCAUCUCUUGAGUAUGGUUGAGGUAGGCGGAAUGUGUUGUGUAGCGGUGAAAUGCAUAGAUAUGACACAGAACGCCAAUUGCGAAGGCAGCUUACUAAGCCAUUACUGACGCUGAGGCACGAAAGCGUGGGGAGCGAACAGGAUUAGAUACCCUGGUAGUCC